GGGCUCCGGAAACCGCGGCGC
rnacentral:misc_RNA from 1 species